rnacentral:lncRNA from 1 species
CGGUUUUAUUCUUUUUAAUCAAAUUAUAAACACUGCAGAAUAUAAAAGAACACUUUUAACCACAAAACUCUUCUAGGAGACAGACAGGGCAGGGCUGCACUGCACCCCCAAAGUGAGGAUUGGGAGAACCAGGAGAAAAGGCAGACUGAGAUUCCUGGGAGAUUGGUGCAGCUUCUGCCAGAACAAUCCUGGGUCUGAACACGCCUGUGGGAUGUCAUCAAUGUCCUCCUGGGCCUUUUUAUUGAAAGCAGAUUUCCACGGAGAAUUAAUGAAAUGCAGAAACUGAAAUGGAAACAGAAAGCAGCAGCUCCCCCAGCCCAUCAGGCUGCAGCAUCCAAAAGAAAAUGAACAGAAAGAUUAUGGACUGGGACCAUCCCAAAUUGCCCGUGUGGAAUACCACUCUGCUCUGCUCUAUAAAUCACCGCUCCUCUCGCUGGACAAACCCUUCAGCUUUGCUUCCAAUGCAGCGAGGUCCCAGCUGUGGCCACCGGGAUUCCCUGCAGCGUGUCCGGGCGGGGCGCAGGGGCAGCGGCCGGGAAUUGCCGUGGGAGCGCUGCCCAGGGAGCUCCCGGCCCUGCCCUGUGCCUGCAGCCCACAGGAAUCUCUUCCCACGGCCAUCCCGGGGUUCCCAGGCUGAGCCCACAGCUCCCCGCUGCCCCCGGAGCGUCCCUGCGGUGCCAGCGGGAGCGGAGCCUCUCCGGGACACCCACCGGGCAUCCCGGGGACAAAAGGAGUUCUCAGUCUUUAGCAUCUCCCAUUCUAUCGGCACUGACAGCAAACACCGCUUCAGCCUUGGCAAGACGUGGAGGGUCAGAGGUGUUACAGAUCCUGGUCUCACCUCAGCCUUGCCGCAGGUAGAGCCUGACAGGGAGAGAGAAGGAAAAUUGGGAUGGGUUAAAGUUCCAGAACAUCCUUACCGGGAUUUUGUCAGCUUUGGUUUCACUGAUGCCUUUGAUGUUCAGCAGCUCCUUCUCUGUUCCAAAAGCCACAGACUCCACUGUGUGAAAUCCAGCUUCUUCAGCCUUUCCCCAUCACUGAAUUUAUGUCACAUUGCUGGGAAGGAGGGGAGAAAAAGGACACCUGUUCAUAUUUUUUGA